AUGAACGCUAGCGGCAGGCUUAAUACAUGCAAGUUGAGGGGCAGCAUGAUAUACGCGAGUAUAUGAUGGCGACCGGCGGACGGGUGAGUAAUAGGUAGGAGACCUACCUCAUACAGGGGGAUAGCAUAGAGAAAUCUGUGGUAAUACCCCAUGAGGUUAUAUGAAUAGAGGCAUAUAAUCAAAGCAUAAGUGAUUAUGCGGGUAUGAGAGGGGCCUACUGACCAUUAGCUAGUUGGUGAGGUAAGGGCUCACCAAGGCGAAGAUGGUUAGGGGUUUUGAGAGAGAGACCCCCCACAUUGGAACUGAGAGACGGUCCAGACUCCUACGGGAGGCAGCAGUAGGGAAUAUUGGGCAAUGGGCGAAAGCCUGACCCAGCCAUGCCGCGUGAAGGAAGACGGCCUUAUGGGUUGUAAACUUCUUUACUACGCGAAUAGAGGUUAGUACGAGAUACUAAUAGGAAGGUAGUGUAGUAAAAAGCACCGGCUAACUCCGUG
rnacentral:rRNA from 1 species